AUUAGCUUGUUUCAGAGCUUGUGUGGAAGCCUUCAAAUAUCUUUAAGGUGUUACAGGAAGAUUGUGGCUUUUCUUUAAUCAAUGAAUGGUUCUUAUUCAACUUCUUUAUGAUGUUUUUGCAAGAUAUUAUUGUAUUCAUACAAGACAAAUCCCAAAAAUAAGCUCUUAAUGCACUUCAUCAAAACAUCAAUAUUUGUAUGCUUUUUUCCAGGUUAGACUGAAAAUUAGGGUUGUUCAGAUGUGGAACUGCCAUGAAAAAGCUUCUUGUGUAAUUAGUCUCUGCUACCUUAUCCUGCCAUUCUUUCUCCAUUUGUUUGUAACUGUUGAAACACCUGCAAUGUGUUUGUUGAUUCUAUGAAGGAAGUGGCAGUAAAGCAUGGUUCUCAGCUGGAUGCAAAUUUCUUCUGUAAGAAGUUCUACUUCACACUAAACUUGUGCUCCUUGAGAGCAUAGGCUGUUCAUAUAAGAAUCAUUAUUUGUUACACAGGCUAUCUGGGAGCAGUGUGAGCUUGAUUUGCGGAAGAAAAAGCCACCUAUCUGUGGUCAGAAGCAAGUUGUGUAAGGUUGAGAUGGUUGAGUUUGGACGUUUCCUAGCUGUAUUCAGUAGCUCCUAAACAAACCAGCAGAAGUCACUAACAGUUCUGGGCAAACUACUAAAUACACACCCUGGGAGUGAAAACAAGUUGUGUCUUACCUUCAGAGAAGCCUGCUCCAUGUGUUGUUCAUUUUUUAAAAUUAUUUUUAGUUAACCU